rnacentral:rRNA from 1 species
UGGGGAAUAUUGCACAAUGGGCGCAAGCCUGAUGCAGCCAUGCCGCGUGUAUGAAGAAGGCCUUCGGGUUGUAAAGUACUUUCAGCGGGGAGGAAGGGAGUAAAGUUAAUACCUUUGCUCAUUGACGUUACCCGCAGAAGAAGCACCGGCUAACUCCGUGCCAGCAGCCGCGGUAAUACGGAGGGUGCAAGCGUUAAACGGAAUUACUGGGCGUAAAGCGCACGCAGGCGGUUUGUUAAGUCAGAUGUGAAAUCCCCGGGCUCAACCUGGGAACUGCAUCUGAUACUGGCAAGCUUGAGUCUCGUAGAGGGGGGUAGAAUUCCAGGUGUAGCGGUGAAAUGCGUAGAGAUCUGGAGGAAUACCGGUGGCGAAGGCGGCCCCCUGGACGAAGACUGACGCUCAGGUGCGAAAGCGUGGGGAGCAAACAGG